AAGAGAAAAGAGAGAAAAAAAAAAAAAAAGGGGGAUCAAAAGUGACAGCCACAGCAGAGGUAGAAGAAGCAGAGAGUAGAAACAAGAACAAUAGCUUCAACAACAUAAAGAAUCUUGAACACCAAAUUAUCAAUAAUUUUCAACUGAAAAUCAACAUGUUUCCACUUGAAAGAAGAGAGUGAGAUUUUCCAUGGCCAUAGAUGAUCCUUGUUGAUCCCCACCUUCUUCAAGAACCAAACCUUCUUAGCCAUCAGAGAUUCUUUCCUUCUCUGUGCACUCUCCCUCUCCCUCUCUCUCCCCUUCUUAGCCAUCAG
rnacentral:misc_RNA from 1 species